ACUUCUUUUUCUCUCUUUCCUCUGAAUUACUUUUCGUAAAGCGUGCGCAGGCGGCUUUGCAAGACAGAGGUGAAAUCCCCGGGCUCAACCUGGGAACUGCCUUUGUGACUGCAAGGCUAGAGUACGGCAGAGGGGGAUGGAAUUCCGCGUGUAGCAGUGAAAUGCGUAGAUAUGCGGAGGAACACCGAUGGCGAAGGCAGCCUCCUGGGCCAGUACUGACGCUCAUGCACGAAAGCGUGGGGAGCAAACAG
rnacentral:rRNA from 1 species